rnacentral:rRNA from 1 species
UACAGAGGCCUCGAGCGUUAGGCGGAAUCACUGGGCUUAAAGCGUGUGUAGGCGGAGUUCUAAGUACCUUGUGAAAUCCCACGGCUCAACCGUGGAACUGCUUGGUAUACUGGUUCUCUUGAGGUACCUAGGGGCGAGCGGAACAAGUGGUGGAGCGGUGAAAUGCGUAGAUAUCACUUGGAACGCCAACGGUGAAAACAGCUCGCUGGGGGGGUAUCCUGACGCUGAGACACGAAAGCCAGGGGAGCAAACGGG